AUGUCGGGGGCGGUGGUGCUGGUUCGAGGAUGUGCCGGUGCAAUGUUUGCAUGGUCAGGUGCACUUGGCUUCAGGCCCUGGGAGGCGCUAUCAAAUCCACGGCCGCGCUGCUGUGUUGACCAGGACGGCCUGCUCGUGCAGUGCGCCGCGGCCAGCUAUGAAAGCCAGGCAGCGGAGAGGCGCAGGCUGAGGGUGAAGCCGGCGGGGUGCUUUAGAUGGGAUGCGCUUGGAUGGGGCAGAGAGGUAAAGGAGGACGUGGUACAUAUCAGGAGCAGUUGUGGUGCCUACAUAUGUGUACCCCGUUGUUUUCUCCAAUCCCAUAAAAUAUGUAGCAAUUCAUAUUGGGUCUUCUUUAUUCACGGUAAGAUAGCCGAAUAUACCUCUGGUCAAUUUUAUAUUGUUCACAUGUACUUACUUUAUUCAACUGAUGAUCGGGUCUUCUUUUAUUUUUGUUCCUCAAUCGUAGACUCGUAG
rnacentral:rRNA from 1 species